rnacentral:rRNA from 1 species
GAUGAACGCUGGCGGCGUGCCUAAUACAUGCAAGUCGAGCGAACGGACGAGAAGCUUGCUUUUCUGAUGUUAGCGGCGGACGGGUGAGUAACACGUGGAUAACCUACCUAUAAGACUGGGAUAACUUCGGGAAACCGGAGCUAAUACCGGAUAAUAUUUUGAACCGCAUGGUUCAAAAGUGAAAGACGGUCUUGCUGUCACUUAUAGAUGGAUCCGCGCUGCAUUAGCUAGUUGGUAAGGUAACGGCUUACCAAGGCAACGAUGCAUAGCCGACCUGAGAGGGUGAUCGGCCACACUGGAACUGAGACACGGUCCAGACUCCUACGGGAGGCAGCAGUAGGGAAUCUUCCGCAAUGGGCGAAAGCCUGACGGAGCAACGCCGCGUGAGUGAUGAAGGUCUUCGGAUCGUAUAACUCUGUUAUUAGGGAAGAACAUACGUGUAAGUAACUGUGCACAUCUUGACGGUACCUAAUCAGAAAGCCACGGCUAACUACGUG